rnacentral:rRNA from 1 species
GACGAACGCUGGCGGCGCGCCUAACACAUGCAAGUCGAACGAGCGAGAGAGAGUUUACUUUUUCGAGCGAGUGGCGAACGGGUGAGUAACGCGUGAGGAACCUGCCUCAAAGAGGGGGACAACAGUUGGAAACGACUGCUAAUACCGCAUAAGCCCACGACCCGGCAUCGGGUAGAGGGAAAAGGAGCAAUCCGCUUUGAGAUGGCCUCGCGUCCGAUUAGCUAGUUGGUGAGGUAACGGCCCACCAAGGCGACGAUCGGUAGCCGGACUGAGAGGUUGAACGGCCACAUUGGGACUGAGACACGGCCCAGACUCCUACGGGAGGCAGCAGUGGGGAAUAUUGCACAAUGGGGGAAACCCUGAUGCAGCGACGCCGCGUGAAGGAGAAGGUUUUCGGAUUGUAAACUCCUGUCGUUAGGGACGAUAAGUGAACGGGUACCUAACGAAGAAAGCAACCGGGCUAACUACGUG